rnacentral:rRNA from 1 species
CCUACGGGAGGCAGCAGUCGAGAAUCAUUCACAAUGGGGGAAACCCUGAUGGUGCGACGCCGCGUGGGGGAAUGAAGGUCUUCGGAUUGUAAACCCCUGUCAUGUGGGAGCAAAUUAAAAAGAUAGUACCACAAGAGGAAGAGACGGCUAACUCUGUGCCAGCAGCCGCGGUAAUACAGAGGUCUCAAGCGUUGUUCGGAAUCACUGGGCGUAAAGGGUGCGUAGGCUGUUUCGUAAGUCGUGUGUGAAAGGCGCGGGCUCAACCCGCGGACGGCACAUGAUACUGCGAGACCAGAGUAAUGGAGGGGGAACCGGAAUUCUCGGUGUAGCAGUGAAAUGCGUAGAUAUCGAGAGGAACACUCGUGGCGAAGGCGGGUUCCUGGACAUUGACUGACGCUGAGGCACGAAGGCCAGGGGAGCGAAAGGGAUUAGAUACCCGGGUAGUC